CAAGAGCGUAUGUAAAAGUUGUUGCAGUUAAAAAGCUCGUAGUUGAACCUUGGGUUUGGUUGGCCGGUCCGCUUUUUUGCGAGUACUGGAUUCAGCCGAGCCUUUCCUUCUGGCUAACCAGUCGUUUCGGCGGCUGGCGAACCAGGAUUUUUACUUUGAGAAAAUUAGAGUGUUCAAAGCAGGCAUUAGCUUGAAUAUAUUAGCAUGGAAUAAUAGAAUAGGACGUUAUGGUUCUAUUUUGUUGGUUUCUAGGACCAUCGUAAUGAUUAAUAGGGACGGUCGGGGGCAUCAGUAUUCAGUUGUCAGAGGUGAAAUUCUUGGAUUUACUGAAGACUAACUACUGCGAAAGCAUUUGCCAAGGACGUUUUCAUUAA
rnacentral:rRNA from 1 species